GCACUUGGAAUAGCUCAGUUGGUAGAGCAUGAGACUCUUAAUCCAAGGGUUGUGGGUUUGAGUCUCAUGUUGGGCA